AUACCUCCACUGGAAUAAAAUACUGACUAGGAAAUGCCCAAACUAAGACUACCAGAUUCCUUAAAAGAAUAGUUGGAGUUAAAAGCUUUUCUGAGAUUAUGUUUACCAUUUUAAAUCAACUAUGUGUAUCUAUUAUGGGUAAGUAUUAGCCAUUUAGAGCUUUUGUGUUACAACUUUUGACUCCUUUAGCAGCACCCAUGCGCCAUAAUCUAGAGCCCGCAUUCAAAUGCUUUAUUCCAGGAGAAGAGCACCUCAUAUAUAUAUAUAUAUAUAUAUAUAUUUUUUUUUUUCCAGUUUGGAUUGUCCUUUAAAAGUUGCUUAGCGUUUGGUUCUGUUACUAGGUUCGGCAUCUUGAGCUGAAGAAGGAGAAGGAAGUUCCGAGAGAAGAACUUGUCAAGUUUCUCUCUGAGGCAAUGGCAACUCAAUUUAAAAACCCAUCCAUCUGGAACUAGAACAGAUUACUUGAACGCAUUGCUACCAGGUUUUUAAAGCCACUUCAUAUUGUUCGUAGUUCUUUCGUACAAAAAAGUUUGCAAGAUGUUUGCCAUUAUUUUAGAAACCUAAGUUCCUGCAGCAUAACAUUUCAAGCCAUGUGUUUGUUACUCCAUGUUGUUCCUGGGAAAGCUGUCUAUCAUAGGUUAAAAUAAGGGCAUGGAGAAGGGAGAAAAAGAAAAUAAAAAGAAAGAAGAAAUGGCCUUUCUGACAUGUUAGUUUACGUUUGAACAUCUAGUGAUUUCCCAAAUCCUAUUGGAGCUUUUGCUUGCUUUUUUACAAACUUUAAAGCGUUUCAGUUUCAAUAUCGUCACAUAACCUUUUUUUUUGCACAAUAGAACUGAGAAUAGGAGCACACCUUCAUUAAUGCAUAUGAAUGAAAAAUUCAAUUGAACAGUCUUUCUGAAAGGAAUCGUAUUUAUUCUAUACUUUAAUAGUAUUGAUGGCUUACAGAGUUUUUCAAAAAGUAGAUGCCUUGAACAAUUCCACUGAGAGAUACUGCAUAGUUCAUGUACCAAUACAUUUGUAUAUAUCUUCUUUCUUAAUAUUCCUUUUUUUCCCCUGUUUAUACACAUCAAAAACCGCUUAAUAAACCAAUAGAAGAUAGAACUCUUAGAAAAUUUCAUUCAGACCCAAGAAUUCCAAUUGGACCGUUUAAUGUGGAAGGAUGGGAAUAAUUUACUGAUAUUUAAUCUGGACUGUUCCAUUCUCAUCUCAUUUGCUGUUUUAGAAGUCAAUGCAUUGUAUUUUUAAGUUUUAACUCUAAUUAGAUCUGCAUUUCAGUCAAAAUGAACAAGGCGAUAGAACAUCUUCUAGCAGAUUGGGAAUCUAUCAUUGUACGUCAGGUUAACUGGGUAUGUUUAUUUCCACUAGGAUGAGGUGAAAGAUUCACACAUGUAGUAGAUGGAGUUCCUACAUCAUGCUGAGAGGGGGGACAAGUGAUAGUGGAGAAUUCCUUUGAAAAUUCACAUUUAGUUCCAUUUAUGAAUCAAAUCUCAUUUUUGGAAUUGAGCUCUGAACUUGUGCGAAUUUUUUUCCUUUCAGAAUUAAAAGAGUUUCAGAUGCCAAAUAUUUUUAUGUUGCACGUUCGAUGAUCACUUGAAUCAUACUUUGUCACGUCCCAUGACUUGUAUCUCUGUUUCUUCUCCAUGGAAACAUCAUUAUUGUUUGUUUGAGGAAAGAUAAACAGACAUCGCUAACAUUAUUAGCAAAAAAUUUUAAUUAAUGUACAAAAAGGUAGAUCUCCUUGAGUACGAAAUUCAUCUCUUUUUUUGUCUGUUUUGUUACAGAGUACUGUUUCAUAUACAGAACAGUAGAAAGUUAAAGUCAUCAGAGAAGGGAAAGAAAAUCAGAAAACAAUUUUCUGCCCUCAGUUUUGCUUAUAUAGAGAAUAUUUAGUUUCUUUAGCUGUACAGUAUUGUUCAAGGCGUUUAGACGAUAGUUUCGCCCAAUGAAAAUGAAGAGACCGGCAAAGUUUUUGUUCGCAAGACAGAGAGGCAUGUUUCCUUGUAUAUCAAAUUUUGUUUCUAAUCUUCUUGAAGUCCAAACUGCUUAAGCCAUUUGGAUUGUAAUUCUAAAACAUACUGUCAUUUUGCUGUUUCCUAAUGUGUGUGUCUAAUCAGUCAUCGACUACAAGGUUCACAUCUUCA